rnacentral:sRNA from 1 species
AGAAUGUUGUUUAAAUAAAUGAUAUGAAUCGGUGUGGUACGAAUCAUCGCAGCAAAUUAUCUAUUUUGAUAUUAUGUAGUCAUAAUCUAUAUAUAUUAACAAAUAAAAACUUUGUCUUUCUUCUUUCACUCCUUAUCUUUUAGAGAGAGGACGAUUUGCCGUAUACCGGAAUAUUGUUAUAAAUAUUGUUUUUCCCAUUCUAAUCGAAUAUUUUUUUCGCUUUGUUGGUUUAUUUUCUCUCCCUUAUCUGAAUCUAAUAAAAUUGCGACUUAAUUCUUUGCUAAGAUCAUUUCUCUCUAUUUCUACAAGAUCUGAAUUUGAAUCCUGCUUGCCAUAUUUGAUCUUCUCGUCCCACCGUUGGCUUAAUUCCAAUCUUUAGCUAGAAUAAUAUAUUUGUCGAUUAUUAUGACGAGGACCUCAACUAGGUCUUAGGCGUAGCUUCUGCUAGGAAUCAAGGUUAAGAUGAUGAAGGAUUAACGAUAUCUUCUUGCAACGACGAAAGCGGUGGAAGUCAAUCGAAUUUGCAACGACAAACUUUGUAGAAGGAGUUUGGUGGUGGAUUUGUGAAGUUAGGGGCAGAAUUUGCACUGAAUCGUGGAUCUUGGGCGGUACCGACUGUAUCUCUCUCUCCUUCUCGCGUAUCAACACGUGUUGUACAUGUGGCACCUUAGAGCAACCACAGUGAUUAGUUUAUAAAGUUUCUAAGUAUUUUUUAUUAAAAAGUUUUGAUAGUUUUGUAGUUUUGAGAUUUUGUACAGUUUUUGAAAAUUUUAUGGUCCAUUGGUGGAAUCCUUAAGUGGGUUUCU